AUUGAACGCUGGCGGCAUGCUUUACACAUGCAAGUCGAACGGUAACAGGCCGCAAGGUGCUGACGAGUGGCGAACGGGUGAGUAAUGCAUCGGAACGUGCCCAGUCGUGGGGGAUAACGCAGCGAAAGCUGCGCUAAUACCGCAUACGAUCUAUGGAUGAAAGCGGGGGACCGUAAGGCCUCGCGCGAUUGGAGCGGCCGAUGUCAGAUUAGGUAGUGGGUGGGGUAAAGGCCUACCAAGCCAACGAUCUGUAGCUGGUCUGAGAGGACGACCAGCCACACUGGGACUGAGACACGGCCCAGACUCCUACGGGAGGCAGCAGUGGGGAAUUUUGGACAAUGGGCGCAAGCCUGAUCCAGCAAUGCCGCGUGCAGGAAGAAGGCCUUCGGGUUGUAAACUGCUUUUGUACGGAACGAAAAGGCUCUGGUUAAUACCUGGGGCUCAUGACGGUACCGUAAGAAUAAGCACCGGCUAACUACGUGCCAGCCGCCGCAGUAACAC
rnacentral:rRNA from 1 species